rnacentral:siRNA from 1 species
UGUAAAUAAGUGUCAAGUACAUGA